rnacentral:lncRNA from 1 species
CAUCCACCGGGCGGUGGCAAUCAGCGGGGAUUUAGCUGAGGCCAUCCGGGCAGGAAAGCAAAAACCAACCCCACCAACAGAAAACAAUGCAUCCCAAAGCCAGGCCUGCGUCACCGAGGUGUCACCACCCCAUAAAGGAGGCCAGUGAGACGCCUGGGAGCCCGCGAGUCCCGUCGGUCGGGGCGCGAGGUGGAGCUGUAAAGCCCUCUGGGCGCGCUCCGUGUCCUCCCGCGUCCCUCCCGUAAAUGGUCCCGCCACUUGGCAGUCUGCUCUCGCCGUUUUUAUUUGGGGUCGUCCCCAAAGGCCACGUGGUGGGGAAACAGGGCCGGGGACACAAUGGUGGCACAGUGACCAGCCGUCCGGGCCCUGGCUAAUCACUAGAAACACCUGGAGGAACUCGUUGAAGGAAACAAAGGCAAAAUACAGCAUUGACCUUGCACCUACUGGGGGAACAGAAAACUCAGGUGGCUGCUCUGACAAAGUUCCUCCGACUUCCAAGUUGUAGGGGAGGGGUGAUCCAGCGCGCUUUCCCCAUCCUCCACGUCACUCCCCGCUCCACACAGCGCUCUUGCUUGGUGAUCUCACCCUUUGUCGACCCAAGAACAGUCAUCGCAUUGUUUCAUCCUCAGCCUAACUCGACUCCCCUUACAUUUUUACCGCUAAAUUGAAUCUACUGCCAGUAAUCUAAUUUACAUUUGAAGGCACACACAAUGCCAACACAACCAAAUGCCAAUAAAAUUUCUAGUAAAA